GCGCGCGUAGGGGUGGACCACUUCCUCCUCGGCCGUCUCGUGCACGGCGAGCAGGUGGACCAGCCGCCGGAAGCAGUGCCGGCGCUGUUCGCCCGUGC
rnacentral:tRNA from 1 species